UUCCAGAAAAUUCUGAAUGCACGGAAGAUAUUUGUGCUUAUUGAACGGCAUGACAAAGACGCUGAAGAAUCAUAAUGAUACUCACACCUUUGUGCAGCUCCCAACCUGCACAAAACAGCUGCACUCCAACAACCAAACGGCAUUGCAUUUGUGUCCGCUUCAUGGCAUUCCUGCCUUCACAGUAAAAUCACAUUCAGUACA
rnacentral:lncRNA from 1 species